rnacentral:misc_RNA from 1 species
GAACUGCGAUAAGUAAUGUGAAUUGCAGAAUUCAGUGAAUCAUCGAGUCUUUGAACGCACAUUGCGCCCCCUGGCAUUCCGGGGGGCAUGCCUGUCCGAGCGUCAUUGCUGCCCUUCAAGCCCGGCUUGUGUGUUGGGUCGUCGUCCCCUCCGGGGGACGGGCCCGAAAGGCAGCGGCGGCACCGCGUCCGGUCCUCGAGCGUAUGGGGCUUUGUCACCCGCUCGAUAAGGACCGGCAGGGCGCCAGCCGGCGUCUCCAACCUUUUUUUCUCAGGUUGACCUCGGAUCAGGUAGGGAUACCCGCUGAACUUAAGC